rnacentral:lncRNA from 1 species
UUCAAUCCACCCUAUUGAACAGUAACUACCUUAAAUGAAUAGUAAUUACCAUUAAUGAACAGUAAUUGUCAUUUACAUCUCCACCCUUGGAACCCUCCCCCUGGCAAUAAGCAAUAAAAAUAAUAGUUUUUUAUGUUUGUUUAAAUAAUAAAAAAUUACAAAAGCUAUCUCUCUCUCUGACACAAAAAAAAUAAAAAAUUACAAAACCCUCAGGCCACAGGC